rnacentral:rRNA from 1 species
GAUGAACGCUGGCGGCGUGCUUAACACAUGCAAGUCGAACGAAGCACCUUGAUUUGAUUCUUCGGAUGAAGAUCUUGGUGACUGAGUGGCGGACGGGUGAGUAACGCGUGGGUAACCUGCCUCAUACAGGGGGAUAGCAGUUAGAAAUGACUGCUAAUACCGCAUAAGACCACAGCACCGCAUGGUGCAGGGGUAAAAACUCCGGUGGUAUGGGAUGGACCCGCGUCUGAUUAGGUAGUUGGUGGGGUAACGGCCUACCAAGCCGACGAUCAGUAGCCGACCUGAGAGGGUGACCGGCCACAUUGGGACUGAGACACGGCCCAAACUCCUACGGGAGGCAGCAGUGGGGAAUAUUGCACAAUGGGGGAAACCCUGAUGCAGCGACGCCGCGUGAGCGAUGAAGUAUUUCGGUAUGUAAAGCUCUAUCAGCAGGGAAGAAAAUGACGGUACCUGACUAAGAAGCACCGGCUAAAUACGUG